rnacentral:lncRNA from 1 species
AUUCGGGUUUGGAGGCAACACUGAGCGAGGUGAGCAUGCCUCUGUUUUCCUUGCCUGGUUUCCUCCUGGGCUCGCUCCCCACCUGGCUGCAGCUGAAUUCUGGCCUUCAUCCUCACCAUCCAGCUCUUUGUCUGAAUGGCAUUUGCCAAGAGACCUCAUAGGAUCCACCUAGGCAGAAGACACUCGGCUCACAGAAAGCCUUCUGUGGGCCGGGAACAUUCCUGUUCUUACUGUGUUUGGCGACUUGGGGACUGAGUUUGGCGGAGGACCCCACGUUAAAAAAAAAAAACAAAAAAAACAAAAAAACAGUUUUCUAAUUCCUUUUUAUGUGUCAUUGGGAACAGGGCGGGAAACUGCCGUUCCGUUCCGGCAGGGUGGUGUUCGUUCGGAGCCUGCCUGUCUGCAGACGCACCCUUGACCUUGGAUGGAGUCUGUUCCUUUCUUGAUGUAUCCAUUUCCUUUUGGGGAAAGCUCAGGCCAGGUUGACAACUUCCCAGGCCCUUUUCACCCCAGCCAGAGACAUCCUUUGGUCAUCUCGAGUGGUUUGCUAAGUCAGUGAUGGAUUACCACCUCUGUCCUCCUCCCCUCUCUCUCUCUCUCCACCCAGAAAAAGAUUUACAAAUACAAGAAAGUCCUGAGUAACCCAAGCCGCUGGGAGGUUGUCUUGAAGGAGAUACGGACGCUGGUGGACAUGGCCCUCACGUCGCCUCUGCAGGAUGAUUCUAUCAACCAGGCUCCGCUGGAAAUCGUCUCAAAACUGCUCUCAGAGGUAAGAUGCAUGCCCCCCACCCCCAGCCGGCCGAGCCCCCCACCCACCCCCAUCCUCUAGGUUGUCUGUUUUUACUUCCAUCUUGUAUUCAGCCCCAUCUGGGUGAGCAGGAGAGAUCUACCUACCCGUGGUGUGCCAUCCUGCAGUGGUUACUAAGGAAGCCAGUGUUUCUCACCAAGCUUGCUGGUUCUAGUUGGCCUCUAAACUUGUCUGGAGGCUUAGGGGACUGUCACUUUUGCUAAGCCCUAGGUUAAACGCACAUCUUGGAUAGUGGCUCUGACAGCAGCCGCUGCAACUCCCAGGGUCAAGUGCCAACUCUGUAGACCUCUAAAGACCCAAAGCAGUGGGUUUCAUCCUUCCUGAUACUUGGACCCUUUAAUACAGCCCCCCAUGUUAUGGUGACAACCCCCCCCCACUGCCCCUCACAGCCAUUCAGUUAUUUUCGUUGCUAUUUCUUAACUGUAGUUUCACUGUUCUGAAUCGCAAUGUAAAUAUCUGUUUUCCAGUGGUCUCUGGUGACCCCUGUGAGAGGUCUAUUUGGUGACCCCCCCCUCCUCUAGGGGGCCAAGCCCCACAGGUUGAGAACCACUGCCCUAGAUGAACCCUUCCAUUCUGCUCUGUCUAGCUGGGGCAGCAUCUCGUCCUGGUUUUGUUAAGUCCUUGUCAGCUUUCUGUCCCACGCACCCUCCGCCAUACGCAUCGUUUGCCUUGCUGGAGGUUUUU